UAGGGAAUCUUCCGCAAUGGGCGAAAGCCUGACGGAGCAACGCCGCGUGAGUGAUGAAGGUCUUCGGAUCGUAAAACUCUGUUAUUAGGGAAGAACAAAUGUGUAAGUAACUAUGCACGUCUUGACGGUACCUAAUCAGAAAGCCACGGCUAACUACGUGCCAGCAGCCGCGGUAAUACGUAGGUGGCAAGCGUUAUCCGGAAUUAUUGGGCGUAAAGCGCGCGUAGGCGGUUUUUUAAGUCUGAUGUGAAAGCCCACGGCUCAACCGUGGAGGGUCUUUGGAAACUGGAAAACUUGAGUGCAGAAGAGGAAAGUGGAAUUCCAUGUGUAGCGGUGAAAUGCGCAGAGAUAUGGAGGAACACCAGUGGCGAAGGCGACUUUCUGGUCUGUAACUGACGCUGAUGUGCGAAAGCGUGGGGAUCAAACAGG
rnacentral:rRNA from 1 species